rnacentral:rRNA from 1 species
UACGGAGGGGGUUAGCGUUGUUCGGAAUGACUGGGCGUAAAGCGCGCGUAGGCGGACCAUCAAGUCGGGGGUGAAAUCCCGGGGCUCAACCCCGGAAUGGCCUUCGAGGCUGGUGGUCUUGAGUUCGAGAGAGGUGAGUGGAAUUCCGAGUGUAGAGGUGAAAUUCGUAGAUAUUCGGAGGAACACCAGUGGCGAAGGCGGCUCACUGGUCCGGUACUGACGCUGAGGUGCGAAAGCGUGGGGAGCAAACAGG